GACGAACGCUGGCGGCGUGCCUAAUACAUGCAAGUCGAACGCUUCUUUCCUCCCGAGUGCUUGCCCUCAAUUGGAAAGAGGAGUGGCGGACGGGUGAGUAACACGUGGGUAACCUACCCAUCAGAGGGGGAUAACACUUGGAAACAGGUGCUAAUACCGCAUAACAGUUUAUGCCGCAUGGCAUAAGAGUGAAAGGCGCUUUCGGGUGUCGUUGAUGGAUGGACCCGCGGUGCAUUAGCUAGUUGGUGAGGUAACGGCUCACCAAGGCCACGAUGCAUAGCCGACCUGAGAGGGUGAUCGGCCACACUGGGACUGAGACACGGCCCAGACUCCUACGGGAGGCAGCAGUAGGGAAUCUUCGGCAAAGGACGAAAGUCUGACCGAGCAACGCCGCGUGAGUGAAGAAGGUUUUCGGAUCGUAAAACUCUGUUGUUAGAGAAGAACAAGGACGUUAGUAACUGAACGUCCCCUGACGGUAUCUAACCAGAAAGCCACGGCUAACUACGUG
rnacentral:rRNA from 1 species